rnacentral:tRNA from 1 species
GGAGAGGUGACAGAGCGGCUAUGUGCGCGACUGCAGAUCGCGUUUACGGGAGUUCGAAUCUCCCCCUCUCCA